rnacentral:rRNA from 1 species
UACGUAGGGUGCGAGCGUUUGUCCGGAAUUAUUGGGCGUAAAGAGCUUGUAGGCGGUUUGUCGCGUCUGCUGUGAAAUUUCGGGGCUCAACCCCGAACUUGCAGUGGGUACGGGCAGACUAGAGUGUGGUAGGGGAGACUGGAAGUUCCUGGUGUAGCGGUGAAAUGCGCAGAUAUCAGGAGGAACACCGAUGGCGAAGGCAGGUCUCUGGGCCACUACUGACGCUGAGAAGCGAAAGCAUGGGGAGCGAACAGG